AGUUCCAAAAUGAUAUAGCCUCUCUUCAGAAUGAGCAGCUACUCUCGAUUUCCUGACUUCGGAAAUAGUUGCUUACAAUGUGUAUGAAGAAUCCAGAGGGUGUCUUGCAGCUCCCAAGAACAGGAAGUACAUGCAGAAAGCAGACAGUCGUCAGGGAUCCAGGCGGCUGCUCCCAGGCUCGCUCUCGGACGCUAUGUCUGCAUCUGCUUUGAUCUUCUCUGUAUUACAGACUGGCUUCCUCUGCUCCUUGGACCAUGUGGAAGAAUAAGGCCAAUAGCGGGCAUCACUCUCUCAGUUCUUCUGGUUGACUUAAACAAAGCCAGGCCGGUGGGUUUAGGAUGAUGCCGCCUUCGGAAGAAGAGUGGAAGGCAUAAAUGCAACGUCCUUGCCGUGGCCUUUAAACCCUGGUUGGACUUCAGCUGAAGCCUGUUGCACCUGCUGCCUUUUCCCAGUCUUUUCCCCAGUCUUUUUCCCUUAGAGUCUAAGUUGGGCUUGGGCAGAUUUUCUGAUGAGGAAGCUGAAGCCACGUCACACAUCCAGUCAGAGGGCUCUGAUUGAAACCAGCCAGCUUGAUUCCAGAAUCUGUCCUCUUAGCACAUGGCUCCCCUUCAGCCAGUGCUCGCUACAUGUUUAUUGUAAUUGUGGAUACCGUGCCGAAAGGGAAAAAUACCAUCUCUUUG